rnacentral:pre_miRNA from 1 species
GUCACAGGAAACUUUACUCGUCGAUCCAAGUAAAUCUCGUGCGGCUUUUGCAUUCAAAGCCGUUCGAGAUUUACUUAAAUCGAUGGUAAAUAUCUUCGUU